GAGUGGAGGAAGCGCGGGGACGGGAAGGGUCGUUGUCGUGGCUGAGGAGAGACUUGGUUGUCCGUCCGGGCGGGUGGCGCCACAGCUGCCUUCGGAAAGGUCCUCGGCAAGGUGCAUCCCCUGCAACGUCAUUUACGAGGACGAGGUGGUAGCCGCGGCUUUUCUCCGUGAGCGGUUCCCCCCCGCCCGCCCCGGUUCCUUUGCUGUUCCCUUUGUCUUCCUUUCCUGUUCCCCUCCCCCCGCGCUCGCAAGCACCCUGAGCUGAGGUCUGGGUGCGCGGUGUUCGGGAGCGCGGCAGGGCGGGUGCCGUCGUUGCUGCGGGUGCUCGUUCCCUGUUUCCACCUCCCCGACUGCUGCGGCGCCUUCUGGGUUGCUGGUGCUGUCCGUCUCGCCUCGGUUCCUAGCGCCGUGACCGUAAUGAGUUGGUUCUCCGUAGGAGAAAAGCAGGUCUUAAGGAUGCGCUUCGUAAGAAAGAGCGUCGUAGAGGUUUCACGUGCUUUUGUCCAAUACUUGAGCUCCAGGGAGAACGAACGUCCGCAGAUGGUCCACUUCACUAAGUUCUUUGCCGAUUCGGUUAAUGCCUUUGUCUCCUGUCGUGCCUCUGCGUGGACGGCAUUGAAUAGAAAAGCUGCUCUAGGAAUCGAUCAAGCCAAGCUAAAACCUACCGGAGGUCGCUUAUCUGAAGUACUGGCCCGUCUCCUUACCCCCAUCGUCUUGUGUGCCGAAUCCCACUUGUGGAGGGGGCUCUGUAAAUACGUUGUAUUCUGCGCGUAGAGAGUAUUAAUGAGGCGCAAGAUAAUCAAGGUUUCGGCUUGCGUUUGGGUGCCUCACGUCCCAUAACCUUUCACCCCAACUCCGAUGCUUUUCCUAGUCAUGCCGAAGGAGCCGAUUAUGAGGUUAUUUGAAGCAGAAGAUUGUGGUGAUUCUCUUCUUGGUCCUUUAAUGAUUGUUGUCGAGAAGCGUGCUGCUCACCUGGGCCUGACCAAGGGAUUCGGGACAGUUGUGGAUGAAGGGCCCGAGGGUGGGCGGUCUGUCUGUCGCGUACAUCUACGUAUUCUGGGUGGCGGUCAGUCGGGCUGUCCGCCCGGCUAAGAGUUUUGCACCACGAGAGUUGCCGCACGUGUACAAAUGGCCACCGAAUGAUCUUUUGUCUGUUGCCUGUUGUCAAUCUAGGCACUGUUGAGGUGUGAUGUUUUGUGGCAUGUGUCUGUGGAAGGUAACGGAAGCUUUGAGCGGCAAUUACACAAUAAAGAUAGAGGAUGGGGAUAUCACGUCUGUCUCGUGCGUUUUGCUGGGGGAAAUAGUUCCCCGAGUU